GUUCAAGGGAUGGGGACGAUCAGGGUCUCUGGGAAGUGCUGACGUGUGCGCGUGUGCGGUGUGUUGCUUGUGGGUGCGUGUGUGGUGUGUGCAUGUGUGUGCGCGCGCGUGUGUGCGGGGUGUGCCGUGAGCGUGUGCCCGCGGUUCGGGGGAUGAGUAGGGGCGCUGACUUUUAGGACCAGCCAUUUGAGUCAAGCUGGAGACGACGUCUUAGAACCUAGGAUGAGUCUCGUUUGGUUUUAGUCUGCAAAGCUCGUCUGCAUCAGACAGGAAUUUUCCCCAGACGCGGGUGCACGUGAAUUAAUUCAUCAGAAGGCGGUUCACGGCCUGAGUGAGGGGGACGAGGGCGGCGAAUUCCUCCGCCUCAUUCCUACCCUGACGAUUCGAGAGUGGCUGUACCAUUUUGCAUUCCCAGACCGAAGUGUGAAAGCUCCAGAUGCCCCACGCCCUCACCAGCCCACGGUGUUGUCAGCCUUAAUAGUGCUGACCAUUCUGCCUGUUAAUAUGAUGAAUUACACUGAUUCAGUUUCAAAUGUCCAACCAAGCUUGCACUCCAGAGAUGAAGCCCACUUGAUCACAUGGAUUAUUCUUUUAAUAUAUGAUGGAUACGACUUGGCUGUUCUUUUGUUGAGGAUUUUUGUGUUUAUGUUAAUGAGGAUAUUAUUUGUAGUUUUCUUUUCUUGUAAUGUUUUUGUCUUUGUUCAGUGUCAGAGUAAUGCCAACUUCAUAAAGUGAGCUGGGAAGUACUCCCUCAUUUUCUGUUUUCUGUGAAAGAAUUGUAUAGAAUUGAUGUUAUUUCUUCCUUAAGUGUUGAGUAGAAUUCACUUGCAAAGCCAUCUGAGGUUGACAUCUUCUUUGGGAAUGACUUUAGCUAUAAAUUCAAUUUAUUUAACAGAUAUAGGGCUAUUAAGGUUAUUUAAUUUUUUUCUUGAAUGAGCUUUAGUGUCCUGUGUUUUUCAAGGAAUUUUUCCAUUUUAUUUAAGUUUUUAGAUUUGUUGGCAUAAAGUUAUCCCAAUAUUUCCUUAGAAGUUGUGACUUUUACUGCAUAUAAAACAUACCUCAAUAAAGCUAAUACAUACAUAUAUAUAUAUGAAUCAUUUCUGGCCAGGUACAGUGGCUCAUGCCUGUAAUCCCAGCACUUUGGGAGGCAGAGGCAGGUGGAUCACCUGAGAUCAGGUGUUCCAGACCAGCCUGGCCAACAUGGGAAACCUGUCUCUACUAAAAAUACAAAAAUUAGCCAGGUGUGGUGGCAUGCCCCUGUAAUCCCAGCUACUUAGGAGGCUGAGACAGAAGAAUCGCUUGAAUCCGGGAGGUGGAGUUUGCAGUGAGCUGAGAUUGCACCACUGCACUCCAGCCUGGGCAACAGACUGAGACUCCAUCUCAAAAAAAAAAAAAAAAAUCCCUUUUUAUCUAAAGGAUCUGUAGUGAAGUCCCCUCUUUCAUUUCUGAUAUUGGUAAUUUGUGGGGUUUUUUUGUUUU
rnacentral:lncRNA from 1 species